rnacentral:rRNA from 1 species
CCUGGGGAGUACGGCCGCAAGGUUAAAACUCAAAUGAAUUGACGGGGGCCCGCACAAGCGGUGGAGCAUGUGGUUUAAUUCGAUGCAACGCGAAGAACCUUACCUACUCUUGACAUCCAGAGAACUUAGCAGAGAUGGUUUGGUGCCUUCGGGAACUCUGAGACAGGUGCUGCAUGGCUGUCGUCAGCUCGUGUUGUGAAAUGUUGGGUUAAGUCCCGCAACGAGCGCAACCCUUAUCCUUUGUUGCCAGCGGUUCGGCCGGGAACUCAAAGGAGACUGCCAGUGAUAAACUGGAGGAAGGUGGGGAUGACGUCAAGUCAUCAUGGCCCUUACGAGUAGGGCUACACACGUGCUACAAUGGCGUAUACAAAGAGAAGCGACCUCGCGAGAGCAAGCGGACCUCAUAAAGUACGUCGUAGUCCGGAUUGGAGUCUGCAACUCGACUCCAUGAAGUCGGAAUCGCUAGUAAUCGUAGAUCAGAAUGCUACGGUGAAUACGUU